UCGGGAAUUUUGGGCAAUGGGGGAAACCCUGACCCAGCAACGCCGCGUGAAGGAUGAAGUAUUUCGGUAUGUAAACUUCGAAAGAAUAGGAAGAAUAAAUGACGGUACUAUUUAUAAGGUCCGGCUAACUACGUGCCAGCAGCCGCGGUAAUACGUAGGGACCAAGCGUUGUUCGGAUUUACUGGGCGUAAAGGGCGCGUAGGCGGCAUGACAAGUCACUUGUGAAAUCUCUGGGCUUAACCCAGAACGGCCAAGUGAUACUGUCGCGCUAGAGUGCAGAAGGGGCAAUCGGAAUUCUUGGUGUAGCGGUGAAAUGCGUAGAUAUCAAGAGGAACACCUGAGGUGAAGACGGGUUGCUGGGCUGGCACUGACGCUGAGGCGCGAAAGCCAGGGGAGCAAACGGGAUUAGAUACCCCCGUAGUCCCUGAGCGGGCUGGCAAGGCGCAU
rnacentral:rRNA from 1 species